rnacentral:lncRNA from 1 species
AUUCUUCUCCCACAGGAGCUACUACUACUAUUCCUAUUCCAUUCCCACGUUUCAAACAAGAAGAAAAUCAAGAACGUGAGUCUUUGGUUAAAAAGAAACGAUCAAAACGACCGCGUAUUGGUAUUGGUAACCCACCCACUGAAGAAGAAUAUCUUGCUCUCUGUCUCAUCAUGCUCUCACAAAGCAACAACCAAAUUCAAUCAUCACCGUUGAAGCUCAAUCACAAGUGCAGUGUUUGCAACAAAGCUUUUCCAUCUUAUCAAGCACUUGGUGGUCACAAAGCCAGCCACCGCAAAUCUUCAUCGGAAAACCAAUCCACAACCGUCAACGAGACCAUCUCUGUUUCCGUCUCAACCAGUAAGAUGCAUGAGUGUUCCAUUUGUCACAAGAGUUUUCCUACCGGUCAAGCUCUUGGUGGACACAAACGAUGCCACUAUGAAGGAGUCAUCAACAACAACCAUAAUCAUAAUAACAGUAACAGCAGUGGAAUUACAGUCUCCGACGCCGGCGCCGCGUCCUCCUCCAUCAGCCACCGUGGAUUUGACCUCAAUUUACCAGCGCCUCUCACUGAAUUCUGGUCUCCGGUUGGAUUCGGCGGUGGAGAUUCCAAGAAGAACAAGGUUAAUGUUAAUCUCGCCGGAAUCAAUGAACAAGAGGUAGAAAGUCCGUUGCCGGUAACAGCCAAAAGGCCACGUUUAUUUUCUGGUGAAGACAAUGAUGAAACGGUGUAGUUUACUGAUACACCGUUAUUUGAUGGAUUGAAUUUGUUUGCUUAUUAGUUCAUUGAAUAUGAAGAAUCGCACAUAUUCUUCUAGCUAGCUAGUUUUCUUCAUUUCUUGUUUUUAUUUUAAAUUGGAUUAGGGUAAUUGGGAUUAGGUUCAGAUUUUGUUUCUACUUCUCGAUUAACAACUCUAUCUGUUGUACAGACGACAAAAUUUGUUGAUUGCUUUUGGAAUCUUUUACUUCAUACUCAUCCAUUCAAUCUAACAAUUUGUUUAUUGAUUCUACUUUUACAUUAUUCACUUUCAAAAGCCUUUAAUUAAUUAAUUUCCUCAAAAAAAAAAAAAAAGCCUUUAAUUAAAUCACUAUUCUGAAUGAUUAGAGACUUCUUUUAUACGUGCAAGAAAAAAAUAUGGCAUUAUUAUAAGAAACUUGAUAAUAUUGACUUGUCAAAAAAUUAAAAAGUAAGAGUAACAAAAUUACUUGAUUUUGAUCCGACUCGACUUGAUUAAAAGUUAUUGACUUCUUGGUCGCAAUACUCCACACUCUACAUUUUGUGCACACACACGAUAAUAUGAAAUUCCUCUGCUUCAAAAAAUAAUCUUUCUCAUAUUUGUAAAGAUUACUAGUAUUACCAAGUGUAAAAGACUUGGAAUCUUGGAUCUUCCUAAAUUUUUUUGAUGGAAAACUGAAUUUAAAUUAUGCUAAUGUUAUGUUUUUAAGGAAAUCAUGUUAAAAUUAUAAAAUUUGACAUUUCUAAUAAUUAUGAUUAUGAUAUGAUAUGCAUAUAUCAUUACAUUUCAAAAGAACAAAUUACAUUACCCCGUCAAAAAGAAGAAGAAUAAACUACAAUAGUUUAAUUAUAAAUCUAUAUAAUAUAUACUCUUAUGACUUUUAAAAUCUUUAUUAUUGAACUCAAAUAUCUUAAUAAGGUAUAAAAAUUAUAAAAUUCUUUUAUUGAAUGCAUAUCGAUAUUCUCAGAAAUGGUUAUAUAAUCAAUUUAAUUUUUAUGAACUUUAUCUUUGACGAAUAAUUUUUUUGAACAAGUCAAAAUAAAAUAUGUUAACAAAAAUGAUUCAUUUCAUAUAAUUGCAAAAGAAAAUCACCCAAACCAAAUUACAAUGUCAAACUUCCAGAGCCAUAAUGUAGGUCACGGAAAGAAAAAUCAUACAAAUUUCGGAGCCAUAAUGAAUUCUUAUAAACUUAAAGCCCUUAAGAGAGUCGAAACUAGUAUAUCCUAAAAAUGCUCCAUAUAUAUUUUUAUGUAAAAUAUAUGUGGUGGUAAAAUAAACCCUAAUAAGAUUAAUUGGAUUGGGUCAAGUCUUUCUCCCAUUAAAUAACCAAAAUUGUGAGGGGUUUUCUUUGGACCCAAAACAUACACUGCAUGCCGCGUGAACAACGCAGGGACACAAGGAAAGGAAAUGUGCAUGUUUAAUUGUUCCUGUGAAAGUCAUUUUGACAGCUUAAAUGAUCUGUCUCCAACACUAAUGACCUUAUAAUUGGAGAUUUAGAGUAGGCUUACUAACACUAACUAUUAGUAUCUUGUUAUAAAAAAUCUUCUAUAUCCACUCAUAUAUUUUAAGUGAAAUUAAAAAAAUUAGAGGACAAACAAAAAAGAGAGUAGUAAUGAAGGACUACAUUACACAUACUAAUUAGUUGUGAAGGGUCAUCUUAGGAUAAUGGGUAAGGUGGGUUGAACCGAAACCUUCCCAUGUGGUUCCUGCCUUUAAUGCACAUGUUUGUAUCAUUAUACCGAAUUUACAACCGCUUUAUCUUGUGGCUAAGGACACUUGUUAUUGGGUUGGCAAAUCUAUCUAUCUACCCACUAAUACUACUAAGUCUUUGUGUGUAAUGUAUCCGCCACUAUCCAGAAUCUUGUAUUCUCGACUGUAGAUUAUUUUGAUUUGGCAACAGAAACUCGUAAUUAAUAUAAAAAUAUAGAGGAUUGGACUUAGGGUAGGUCCAAAUAGAUAACCAAGACAAAGCUCUAUUCAGAAAAUAUAAUUUAAUGGUUGUACACUGUCACUGUAAAACCGUUUUACACUAUACCGCUAUUUUUUCAUGCCACACAAUCAAUUUAAAGCAACCAUAUAAGACCGGUAUAGAAAAACAUAAGACUUUAUUUUUAAAUUUUUGUUUAUUCGACUAAAAAGUAAUCACAAUAUACAUUCAACCAAGCUAGAUUAACCUUAAUUUCUUAGUCAAAUUUGUAUAGAUAAAGAGUUCAUUUAUUAUGAGCAGUGACGGGCUGCCAACAACAAUUUAACACUUUUUCUAAGCAUUUAUGCUUUUAUUGGAAGAAAUUUAGGCAAGUUCUGACGCUUUGAUACAUUUCUAAAAUAUUUAGUAGGGUCGUAUAAAUUUUACACAAUAAGAGGGAUUAAAAAGAUAACGUUAGAGGAGUGUUGUUAACACUUAUUCAUUCAUCCAUUAGGAAGAUUGCUUCUUGAUUCCGUAAGCUUAUAAGAAAGUUUAUCGACGUGUUACUAUAAUUAUCCAAAUUACACCAAUAUAUAAAGAUGUAUUAUUAGUAUUAUGACCUAAUAAGUUCAGAUUAAUUUCGAUUACUUAAUUAGUAAUAUGUUUGGCCAGACUGGUUCUUUUUACACUAUGAAGGAAUGAGUGCAACAACAAAUGUACUCUUUCUAGUUUCUAGGAAGUAUAUAUUCUCGUGACCCAGUUUGAUUUGGCAAGACGUGUGGGGAAUGCUUCAACGUGGUGCUCUCUACUAAUAAUGCAUAUUCAUUCAUUCAACUAAUUAAGUAAGCUAGCUAGCUAGGUACGUUAAUUAAGUUGUGAACAACUUAAAUUUCCAAAUUUUUGAAUGCGAAAGUAGCCAUAUACGCGUUAAUAUGCAAUGUGGCUAUAUUACAAACCAUAUGAUUAAGAGCCUGAAAUUCUUCUAUAUGCUAUGCGUGUCGUGUUGUCAAAGUCGGUUCCUCCAAACACGGUAGUGUUUGCUAACAUUUUUUAUACUUUGUCCAAAUACAUGAUCCAUAGUUUGCCACUCCCUUAAAUAACUUAAUUUUAAUUAAUCGUAAUGGAAUGUCCUUCAUUGUUUCUAUCGUUUAUCCCUUUUUAUGAAAGACCUUCAUUGUUUAUUGAAGUUGCAUGUGUUUGUUUGCAACUUAAUCGGUACUGCUUUUUACUUUCAACGGAUGAAACGAGUUAAAUAAAACUAUAUUAUUAAUUGCCGUUAUUCUAGUUUGCAAGAAUUUUUUUGCUCCUUGUUCUUCUUGGCCUAUUCGCAAUUUUUUUGUUGUUUGCUAGUUUCCUCAAUUUCUCAGUUAAGCUACCCAACCUUUUGCUGUAAUUUGAUUUAUGAACUAGUGAUAUAACCUGAGAAAUUUCAAUUGUCUGAAAUUAAUUUUCAGGCUAUGGUGAAUUCAUCAACAUAUUAAGCUGGUAAAAGGAACUAUCUAUUCUUGAAGGAAAAAAGAGUUUAAUUAUUGUACACCGAUCAUGUACAAUAAUUUUACACAUACAUUCAAUGAUGUGUUUCCACAUCAAUUAAUAAAUAUGAUAACUCAUGUAUUUUCAUAUUUAUUAGUUCAUUUGACAACACAUCACUGGAUGUAUGUUUAAAAUAGUUAUACACCGAUUGUGUAUACUAAUAAAAUUAAUAGAAAAAUAAGUACUUCAUCUGAAAUGAAAUAUAAAUAAAAGUGAUAGUUGAAAAAUUAAUAUAUAUAGUUAAAAAUCUUGUCUGCAUACACAAACUUUUCAACUAUAUUUAUUUGCUUAUAUUUCAUUCCGGAUGGAAUAUCUAUCUAUUAAGAAAAAGGAUGUAUGGGAAAGCCGAAUUGUGAUGUAAAUAUUUUUUUUCUUUAAAAAUUUUAACUUUUUGAGACAAAGAGAAUAAAUAUUUAACUAAUAAAUAAUCUUUGGUUAAAUUAAGUGAUUAAUCUCAUGAGUUAAUGAAUGCCAUUAAAUGAUAUAUUGUUUGAAAGAAUUCGAAUUUGAUUCAUGGCUAAAACAAUAAUUAACAAGACUUUAAUUACUUUUCGAUCAAAUUCUAAAUUAUUAAAACCCUUUCUCUCUAGAAACCAGAGGGUUAAUACCAACAACAAAAUCUCGGAUAAAAAAAACUAAUAAAUAAUCUCAUAAAAAAAUCAUAUUAAUUAUAUCAAAGGAUAAACUUAGAAAAUAAAUAUAAUUGUAUCUUUUGGGUUUUUGAAACACUUGUAAUAUUUUAACAAAAAUAAAAUAUUUAAACCAUAAAACACUUCCACUUUGUUUAAACAAAAGUCUUGUUAACGAGUGCUUGCGGUACUCUUUAAAAAAUAAAACACUUUCACUUUGUUUAAACAAACGAGUCUUAUUAAUGAGUGUUUGCGGUACUCUUUAAAUAUUUCAAAAGAAGAUUUUUUAUUUUUAUUUUUUUAUAAAAAAGUCAACUAUUUCGAUUUUCAAUACAUUGAUUAUACAUAUUUUCAUAAAAAAGUUAUAGUUUAAAAUCUUUAAAAAGGACUCCAAGUGGAAGUGAGAAUAGGUUGGAUAGAGUUCAAUUUUGCAAUGCCUAAUUUUAGUUUCAUAGAAUAACUCAAAGCCCAGGCAUAUCUUACACAUAUAAUAUGUUUAUUUUCAUGUUUGAGUUUGACAUUCUUAAAAUUUGAUAUAGUUUGUUAACCUACUUAAAAGUAUAUUUUAAAAAACAUAUUUAAAUUAGUAAUCAUAUUGGUAUUGAAAUAGACUAGCAGGUUGAUAAACCAUUAAGAUUAAACUCCAUUUAACAUGUGAUAUCGUAUUUCAAUUUUAGUUUAAAAUGAUAUGUUUAAAUAUGAGAAAAUCAACGUAGAUUAAAAAACAGAAAUACCGUAUGCCCUUAUUAAUUGUCUAUCAUAUUUCCAUCCCUAACCACACAUUAAAAGUAUAUGAUUAAUUUUGGCAAAGUGUACAAAAAAUAACUGGUAGCUAAAAAAACAGAAGAAAAAAAACCAUCCACACUUAAAUUUGAGUUAGCCAACUCUCCCUUGCUGUCUACAUUACAAAUAUGAUUUUUUUAUGAACGAAAUGAUAAUAAUUAUUGAAAAUCUAUAUACAAAAGUGGAAGAAUUAAAAUGCAAGCCUCAAUCAAGACUUCGACCUAGUAGACAUUUUUACAGCUUGAGUUAAGAGUUAAGACAUAUGGACUAAGCGUUUUGUGUAUGGUGUAGCGGAUCGAUAAUUUUAAUCUUCAAGCUAUUCACAUUAAACCUGUAAGAUAUCAUGAUACCUUUAAUUAAUUUGUUUUUCUCAUAAACCUGCUAUAUAUAUAUAUAUAUCAUUUGGCCACCUUUGUAUAUGAGGUAGUGAAAGUUCAAUUCUAUAUAAAAAAUAGGUAGCAACAGAUCAGCAUUUUAUGGCAAAAUAAAUCCAUUACACCAAACAUUACUGUUCAAUCAAAAACUGUUUACUAUCUGGGGGUUUCAAUGGAUAUAUUAUUUUGAUUAUAUCCAUGUGGAUGUUCAUUAGGCCUACUUGUUUGCAAGUGGCAUAUAUAACCAAAUAAUAUUAGUCUACAUCACACAUUUUCGGUUCAUUAUCAAUUUACCAUCACCUAUGUGCUCACCUUGAUUUUGUUUAAAAAAAAAAUUCAACCCUUACUUUUAUUUAAAGAUGAUACCGGUAGCAGUUUUAUAUUUCAACUAGAUUUGAUUUAAUUUAUUCAGAUUUUUGAAAUGAAAAUUAGGUGCUCGAGCAUCCUCAAGUGGUCAGUAGUUUGGAUUGUAAGACCGAAUCAGUUAUAGGUAUUAGGUAAGAGGUUUUCAGUGUUUUCUGUUCUGUUCAUCAACUCACAUUUUUCUCCUAAAAAAACCAUUCACACGUAUUAUUAUUUAUGUGCAAAAAAUAUAACAGGAAGAAUCUAAAACUUAGUUUUGUUCAAGGUUUGUCUAAUUUUGUUUUUUAGUUAAGUAGCAAAGUGACUAGACAUUCAUCUCUUAAGAUGAAUAAGUGGGGUUUGAAGUUUGAACUCCGACCUUUACAUCUUAUCAACUGAGUUAUGCUUAGGAGGACGGUUUAUUUUACAUUUUACUUGUUUAUUUUAUUUUUUUCCGACAACAUUUUGCGUGUUUAUUGUUUAGUCAAAUAAAUAAAAACUUAAUGGAUUAUUUUAUAAUUAGGAAUCAAACUUGGUAUCUUAUAGUUUACAACACUUGCAUAUCUUCAUGGUUACAUUUUAAGGUAAAAUAUUUAAUACAUCUGGUAUAAAGCAUUUUGCAAAUUAAUCUAAAUUUUAAAGAAAACUAUCACAUAACUCUGUCUAUGUCUUCCAUCUCAAAGAAUUUAACAGAUGCUAUUAAUAUUUGGCAAUGCUUAAUAUACUUUUUUUUAAUCAAUAUAUAUUUGAUGCAUGACUAUUUUUUAAGAAUUAAUAACCAGCAUUUUCGUAUGAGCAUGCAUUGCAAUUGAAGAUUUCGAUUAACUCGAACGGCAAAAAAGAAAUGUAAACUACACUGAGAUCAAUUGGGGGACAAAAAAAACCCAAACGCAUCAACUGAUAAGAAAUGAGUCAUCUAAGAGCAACUCCAAUGCUAGUUCUACACAUUGUUCUUGAGAGAAUGAAGUAGUGGUAACAGGGGACUUGGGAGAUGAGGGGUAAUUUAUGUUUUUUGUAUGCUAUUGUUAGAUUAAAUAAUAUGAGUAAAAAUCAAUGUUACCGUUUUAAUUGCAGGGAGACUUAAUGGAACAUAUUUGGUCACAUUUUGGAAUGAUAAUAAUGAAAAUUAAUUUUUCGCUUUUUUUAUGUAUUUCUAUUUGGUUUAACUUGUUUUCAAUAAAUUAUGUAUUUCUUUUCAUAAUUAUAUAAUAAAUGUAUUUUUUUUGUUAUUAAAUAUUUUUAGAAAAAAAUAUAAAUAAGUAUUUUAAUGGAAACAUAUUAAAAUAAAAAAAGAAAUAUGUGGGGUCAAUUGUGUAGGACUGAUGAGUCAAUAAUUAGUUAUUUUAAUAUAAUAUUUAAGUCCGUUUUAUUUAUAUUUGAGUUUAUUUUAUUUAAGUUUAUUUCCUUUUUAGAACUCUUUUAUUACAAUUGCAAGUUAUUAAAUUUCAGGAACAAAUAUUCUAAAGAUUGAGUCUUGGAGCAAAAGAAAGGAGAAUUAGAGUUGAUUCGUGCAAAAAAUAUAAAAGAUCUUAUACAAAAAUAUCUGGUGCAAGGAUUGAGGACAAAAAUAUGAAUAUCUCAUACAAAAAUAUCAUGUGCAAAGAAUUUGAAGAACUUGUACAAAUAUACACAAGAGGCGCGCCCCACUUUAGUCUUUUUGCUGCUUUAACUUUCCGAACAAGCUACCUAUUAGUUUAUUUCUGACCUAAAAGCCCUUGGUUUCUUAUGGAACAUUCUAGUGAUGUAUUACUUAGGUUUUAAGUCGUUAUAGACUAUAAAUAGAGUAGCUAGCUAUUAUAACAAUUCAUCUUUUGUUCUUGGAAUAAUAAGUAACAAUUGUUUCUUUGAAUAAAAGUUCAACCUUUAUUUUAUGUUCUUCUUCUUCUCUUCUAUGUCUACAAUGAACGUUAGUGAGUAGAUUCUUCUUGUCUUGGGAUUAUUGGAUAAGUCUAAUGACAUAAUCCUAAUCAAACCAAGCUUUAAACCUAAUUUUAUGUAACAUUAAUUUCUAAUAUAAAUUCACUGUUUUAACAUGAAUUAACCAUUAUCAAACUGUAGAAGCGAAAGUGGAGGGUUUGAUAAUUGUUAAUCUAUCAUCUCAAAUAUCAAUUCAUAAAACGAAAGUGGAGUUUUGAUAUUCGAAGGCAGCGAAAUAGUCUUUUGCAAUCCUUGAGACAUAUAAGUUUCGAACUUCAAGGAUUCUAAUAGUAAUCAAGUCAGCGAAAUAGGUUUGGUUGCUAGAGGAACCAAAAUCUAAUAGUAAUCAAGUUAGCGAAAUAGACUUGAUUGCUAGAGGAACAUAAGAGAAACUUGUCUUUAGAGAUUAGGUUUAACAUAAGGUUAUAGGUUUAAGGUUUUGGUUUGUGAAGGAUUUGUCGUUAAGAUGAACCAAUAAUCUUCGAGAAAUGAUAUUUGUACAACCAUUUGUACAACUUUCUCUCUCAUAUUCACAUUAUCUUCUUAUUCUCUCUCUUCUUUUAUUAUUAUUUGUACAACCAAAAAUUGUAGCAAAAAAGUUGUUCAAAUAUCAUUACUCAUAAUCCUAAAACUCUUUUAUUAUUAUUAUUUUCUUAAAAAUUCAAACUUUACAAUCUCAAACUCUCAUCUAAUCAUUAUUUAAAGUUAAUUGAAUUCAUAACUCCAUGUCGGAACGAUACUCUCUUUUUACUACUUCAGUAGAACCGUGCAUUUACGGUUUUAUCUCAUCAAGGACCCUACAAUGUAAGUUAAGAACAUAAAUAUUGGUCUCUGCAUUGGAGUAAAACUGAGUAGAUAGGCAAUUACCCCCCCCCCCCCCCCCCCCCCCCCCCCCCCCCCUCGAAAUUGUAAGUUUCGUCAAUUAUCCCUCUGAAAUUGCACAACGUUAAUCAAUUGACCCCUCCGUCAAAUUUUUUUGUUAAUGAACAUUACGUUUUGCAAAUACCCCAUAAAAUUUUACAUUUAUAUGCAAAUUAGCCCCCAAACUUAAAAUUUUAUAUAUUUUUUUUUCUUAUCCUUGAUAAAAACACUUCCACAAAAUAAACCUAUAAACAUCCUAAAAUCUAGUCAUGCUAACAUUAUCAAGUCAUGCUAGUAUCAAGCAAUAAACCAGCCGGACCAUGACAGACCAAGUCAUGCUAACAGUAUCAACACUUACAACAACAUUAUUUAAAUUUUUGAAAACACAACAAAUGAUAGUGAACAUGGCUUCUCCCUUCAAGAUCUACAUUUGUUUCAAUUUCGAUGUUUUUCUUCAACAAUGACUUUAUGGGCUGCUGAGGUAAACAACAACGUUUUGAGUUUCACAGUUUUUCUAAAUAAGAGACCGUUUAUUCAAAUCCUUAGAGAUACCAACCAACAUUAUAAAUCUGGAUCAACAACGUAAAAUUCGUUUUUGGCAUGUUUGUUUCACAUUUUACAUCCUACUAAAAUAAUAUAAAACUCCAUAAUAAUGUUGCAUUAAUAAAGAAGAUAAAUAUAUUAAAAAGAAAAAUUCCAUAAUGAAAGAAUACAAUAUACGUGAGUUGGUUCAAAGUUCCUUAAACUUGUUGACAAAGAAGGAGGAAAAUUCCAUGAUGAAAGAAUGCAAUAUACAUGCAGAUUUAUUUCGUCGCUAAGUUUUUAUUUAACUAGAAAUAAAUGUUCUAAAAGAAACAUUGUUGUAUUGUAAUUGGGUUUUAGUGAUUUUUUUUUCUGGCGUAAGGGGUAUAAUGAAUCUACUAGGAAAAUUGAUGUCUACACUAAAUGAUUUGCUAUCACACACUUAAAAAUGACCAAAAUACUUUAAAUGAUAUUUAACUACGAUUCGCUCCAAAGAGAAAAAUUAAACAGCAAACUGCAAUUAAUUGCAAUUGGAGGUAUUGAAAGUCAUCUCCAGAUGUAUGAUAGCAGACUUUGAAGUCUAAAGAGCAAUGUUCAUCUACUAGAAUUGGUAAAAGGGCCAAGCCCAAGGGAAAAACACCUUACAAAACUCAUGGGAAUUUUGUUUUUCUCACAUAUCCAAUUGCUCUCCCACACUAGUAGAAGACUAUUAUUUAUACUUCUCAGCUGCACUUAAUUACCGCUAACCCUUACGUUGGGAAGCUGGCGGCAGUUAGUUACUGCCGCGCUAAGGGUAUAAUGAUUUUUCACUAAUGUGGGAGAGCAUUUGGGUAAGUGAGAAAAGCAAUUGUUAACCAUGGGUCAGGUAAAGCUAAGCCCAGUUCAAUGUAAUGUCCACAUUGAUUCUACGUUUUAUUGUUGUUGCUGUAUUGUUGAUCGAAAUACACCCACACUUAUUGGUUAUACUUCCACAUUUUAUUAAAUUUCUUAAACUAUCACUACAAUCGUAAACUGAUUCAUUUAGAGUGAACAUUUUGUUUUAUAUAAUUUGUACGUUUUCAAAUCGUAAAUAUAUUUUAUUCAUAUAAAUCGUUAACAUAUUUAGUUAUAGUUUGUUUAUUUACUUAUAAUAUCAUAAAUAGGGUUAUUUAUGAUAUUUAUGAAUCCACACAAUUUGUAAUUUUCUCGGAGGACUACGAGGAUGUGAGUGCUCAUCUGGUGUCAUGUAAGAGGAAGAAAAAAGGUGGAGUAUCUCACCUUAAAAAUAACGAUACAUUCAAGUUGACCUUCAUCUAGAAAGGGUGUUAGUUUAGGGAGACGUCAAACACUCAACAUCAAUCUAGAGAGACAGUGGUAAAAAUACUCAAGGUCGGUCUGGCAAAGCUGGGAUAAAAACACUCAUGAUCAACCUUAGAGGUGGAUGUACACUUUAAAAGUUGAGGUAGAGUAAGCUCAACUUAAGGAUGAGUUUUUCCUUAAUGAGACCCUAUGUGUCUUGCUCUUCGGGAGAGCAAGCAAUUCUUCAAGAGGACAGAGAUGCGCACUUCAGAGGUUGAAGAGGAUAUGGUAUAAUUUGUGGAAUUACCUCAGCAAGCUAAAGGUAAUUAGAGGCAAGUGAAUCUUAAGAAGGACGGAAAUGAUCACUCUGGAGGUGGAAGAGGUUAUGGUGAAGCCACUUAAAAGGCUUAAGGUUGGGCACAAAAUUUUCAAGAAGGCGGAAGAUGUUUCGAGGUUUGAAGAGGUAAGAGUUAAAUCUUGUGGGACUACAAAAUAUAGUAAGAGAAAAGACAAACGAUAAGGUGGUCGAUGGUUAAAGGGACAUCAUUAUUGAUUUAAAGGCGAGGUGAUUUUUUUUUUAAAAGUGCAUGAAAAUCAGUUUUCUGGUCAUUCUACGGGUUCACGCCCAGAUGCAAAAUUUUGUGUCCCAACGUAAAUUUGCAAAACGACAAUUUUAUUACUCCCUCCGUUUCAAAAUGAGUGUCGUUUUAGCCAAUUGCACACAGAUUAAGGAAUAGAAUGAAAUAAUCGUUAGACAUAACACUUUUAUUAAACUGCCCUUGCUUUAUAAGAAAAAGAUAAACUUAAAGUUGCAUUGAAAAUUGUGUGAAAGAAAAGUUUGAGAGGGUAAAGUUGGAAGAAAAAAAUUAAAGUUGUAUUGGAAAUGUAAAGUGACAUUCAUUUUGAAACAAUUUUUUUUUUUGCUAAAGUGACACUCAUUUUGAAACAGAUGAAGUACAAUUUUGAGUGAGAAGUGUGAGGCAAACUAGGAUUUAUCCAAAAGGGAAAUUAUUAUGAGAUGAAAUGCUAAGAAUCGAGUACUUCUAGAAUAUACUCUUUUUUUUUUUGUCAAGGAGCCUAAUGGCUAGAAUUCACAUUUUUCAAGGUGAAUAAGUGGGGUGUCCGGGGUUCGAACUCCGACCCCGACAUAUAAUAAUGCACAUCCCUGCCAACUGAGCUAUGCUCACGGGGACCUUUUAGAACAUACUCUAAGGUUGGAAAACAAUUUAAACACCUUGGCAAAUAGUAGAAAUUAUAGUUGUUAGUGUUAAAACCAAUUUAUUGUAACAUUUUGGUUUCUCUUUGUAAGAAACUCGUUGAUAGUAAGUUUAAGAGAUUUUUCUCCUUUUGGCCUAAGUCAAAUUUGGAUCGAACAUGGUGAACAAAUAUCAUUGUGUUUUUCCUUCCUCUCCUUUAUCAUAUUUUUUUUGUUUGUGCUUGUUUAAUCACUUUAAUUUUGAUUGUUGCUAAUUCUACGUUAUAUAUAUAUCAAAAUAUUGAUGUAAGUUUUAUCUGAAUUCACAACGGUAUCAACUUUAAAGAUCAUAGCCAUGAUUAGAGUAUCAUUUUAUGUGAUAGACUUAUAUGAUUAAACAUUAUAAAACAAUCUAAGUUAUUCAACUCUAUUCGCAUUCUUUUAACUCUACAACUACAAGUAUAUAUUUUUUAUAAUUUAUAUUAUGCCAUAAAUCUCUUCCCAAAUUAAUGGAUGAACGUAAUGCCAAAUCUAUUUUACGUAUAUUUUUAAUUGUGAGAUUUAAGACAUUUAUAAUGGUUGGUGCUUCACAUAUUCACCGUCGAGCUAAAUAGACAUCCUCCAUCAUGGACUAAUAUUUAUUGGUGUUUAUAGAGAAAAGUGUUUAUAGAAGGACAUUAUCUCUUUUCAUUUAUGUGUGAAUUUCAUUUAAUAUUUUCUAAUGAAAUAAAUGAGUGUUUUAGAAAUAUAAUAAUAUAGAGUUAUUAGUGGGACUUGUUAGUAAAUUUUGUUGAGGUGUUGUGUUGGAGGAAUUAGGUACUUAAUAGGUAUUGACAUUUAAAAAUUGACAAAUGAUAUUCGUACAACCACUUUUUGACAACUUUUGUGACAACCUUAUUUUUCAUACUCACAUUAUGUUUUUACUUUCUCUCUCUAUUGCUUUGGUUUUUGUGCCAAUACCUCUUUUCCUUUGUAAAAAUAUGAUUGUCUCAAAAGUUGUCUAUCAAAUAGGUAUUCAAAUAACACAACUCUUAAACAAUGAAUGAUGUGUAUAUGUAGAAUCCCCUUAAACACUCAAAUAGGGGAGCUCCAUUAUGUAUGGUCUAAAUCUUAAGAUUUUUUCUUAUGCUAUUUAACCUUUAUAAUUAUGUGCUAUGAUUGUUCUUUUUAAAACCUUUUUACUGAUUGGUGCAAACAUGUAAUUGUAAGCCAUGUGAACUCUGGUACUCAUAGAAAUCAAUUAAAUUUCCGUACAAAUUUCUCUAUGUGGCUAGUUUUGUACACGAUGAAUUCCAAAUGCAAUGACUAUUUUAAUUGUCUAAAAGGGAAUCAAUAGUACCAUUUGCUAGCUAAGAUAUCACUGGUUUAUGCACAAAAUCUGUAGCAUUAAACCAUUACAGGAUUCUCACACUCCAUUAUGAUUACAUUUACACCGUCCCUCCACCCCACAAAUCCCUUUCUCUAUGGGCAGAAAACUUGAGCAGAUUGAAAUUUCCUUAAGAAAUGGUUGUUACUGCUAGAAAUCAAGAUAUUAUUCUUUAGUUUAUUUAACCUAAACACUACUGUCUCAAAGAGAUAGCUUUUGGCAAAUAUAAGGUCAAAGUCAAAGCUUUUAAAUAAAAGGAUAUGAACAUGUGAGAUCUUCAAAUCAUAUGGUUCAAUCGGUUGAACUCGGUUGAAUUGAAUGAUUAAUAGAUAGACAUAAAAGUAAAAAAUAUAUAUUAAAAGAUUGGUUGAAUUGCACACGUUCAAUUUGAUUCAGCCAAACAAUUUGAAAGCGGGACCAAACCAAUUGUCAAACUGAUCGAUUCUCUGUUCAAAAGACAAUUUCAUCCAAUUUUUAAAGCAUCAUUUGAAAUUCAUGUACAGGGGCAUCCUUUUUUCUACAACUUUGUACUAUUAUAACAUGGUUAUAUUUUUUGAGAUGUUAAUGGUUAAAAUUAGGUAAUGUUGGGCACUUUUUGGCAUAAGCCGUUGACUAACUUCCUUGUUUGGGGAAUAUGACUAGAAAGAAUACAUACGAUACGAUGUGUUUGGACAAGUUUAUCUAGACACCAUCUUUGAAUUUGAACCAGCUUAAUUAGUCUCAAAGUUAAAGGAAUCAAGUGCUAAUGAAGGAAUAUACCAGAAUAAAAAUAUUUCAAGGUGCGGAAUAUUUCCAUAUACAGUCAGCACCAUGUGUAAGAUCAGUUUAGUUUAGGCACCUUCUCAAGACUUUAGUGAAAACAUGCAUAAAAAUGGGGACCUGAACAUGUGCAUGAAUGAAAGUUAUUGUUUAAAGAAAUGUAGCACUAUUAUUGGGAUGUGUUCAAAUGGGAAUAUGAUAUAUUCUUUGGUGGUUCUAUUAUCUAUCUAUGAUAUACAAUCUGCUUCAAUGUGUAUGUUGGAUGGGUAGGGAUUUUUUAGCAUUUUUUGUCAACAGGUUGAAGCAGUGUAAAUUAAGAUGUUGGACUCAACAAAUUAGUACACGAAUAAUCAAUUAUCACUGAAAAGUUUAGUUUAAAAUAUCAAGUUGUUGACUAAACUUUUCAACAUUUUUUACUUUUAUAUAUCCAACCUGAAUAAUUCUAUGACAUUUUAACGUUAUUGCAAUACCGUUGGCUUUAAAAUUUCAACAAUUUAAAUGUUCACUUCCUUUUUUAUAUAAUUACAGGAUCAAUUUCCUUGGUAGCAUCUGUCAAAAGAAAAAGAAAAAAAAGAAAAAAAACCUUGGUAGCAUAGAGAUUGCAUUAUUACAUUUUCAUGUAACGUUGGGACUUAUCACCCUUUCAAGUGACACAAAUCAUUAGCAACAUGAUCAUGAUAAAGGUGUGAUGGAACUCAAUAAUCUUUGCAUAGUGACAGUGCAUCACAGUUUAAAGAUUGACGAGUGUUAUUUGAACAAUCAUUUGAUUGACAAUUUAUGUGACAACUAUAAGUUGGGGAUUUUAUCCAAUAUACACGUCGGUGAAAUUUAAUGCCAUCGACACAAAUACAUGUUUUUAAUUUUACACAUUUUAACCUAAAAUAAAUGAAUAAAUAGUCAAAUUAUUUUCUAAUCUAUCACUACCUCACCAAUUUUGUUUUAAACUAUUACAAUCAACUAUAAGUCCCCCAUCCUUAAAAAAAGAAAAUUAUAAGUCCCCAAACUAAGAAAAAUAUAUCAAUUUAAUCAUUAAAUUAUUAUGAUGAACAUCCAAUUUUGUAAAUUGAAAGACUAAAUAGUUGGAUGAAGGAAUCAUUUAGGAAGUUUUUAGUUGAUUUUAAUAGUUUAAUGAUAAAGUUUGAGAGAAUGAUAGUUUAGAGACUAUUUUGAAUCUUUAUUUUAAAAUAAGUAAAUGGCGAUGCUAUUUGUCGCAAAUAUUAUUAUCAUACAUAUAUCAUGAAUAUAUCACACAAAUCAUUUACGGGUGUUGAAUUUUCAAUUUAGCGGAGAACAUAUAUAUGUAACAAGUUUUAAAUUGAAUAAAUAAAAAUGUUCAAUAUGGUACUUAAGUCAUAGAGUUCUUUCAUUUAAUGAAUUAGUACUUUAAUUUGAGCUCUUAACAAGUAUCAUAUUUUCAUGAUAUGUAUCUUAUCUAUGUGACAAUUAGCGUAUUUUCAAAAAUAAAAUCUGAAGUAUUUUAAUGGAAACCAGAUGUUAAAAAUAGGUGAUUAUGUUUAUUUUCCCAGAUGAAUAUUUAACAAAAACUAUAUUUGAGUCCUUUAACUUAAUUUAAAAUUAUAAAACUAAAUAUUUAACAAACUUUUUUUCUUAGCCCACUUCUACUACAAAUUUGUGUGUAUGAUAAUUGAAUGAUAUGCUAUAAGAAUGUUUAACUAAAAAUAUUAUGUUAAUUUUGAUGGAUUUUUUUUUUGUUUUUUUUUAUGGAUUGGAUAUUGUACUCGUAAUUAUAAUACAAUUUAGAUGUCACUGCCAAAAAAAUACAAUUUAGAUGUUAUAUUGAUGAAUUGAAAAUAAAAUUUACAAUGAUCAAUUCAAAACUUGUUAACAUACAUAUAUAAAGAAAAAUGAAGAUUAAUAGAACACUGUUUACAUUUUUAACGUAAAAGACUAAUUUAUCAUAAAAAAAAUGUUAACCAUGGGCACAAAUUUUGGGCUAAACUAUACUUUUCAUUCAUUAUGUUAUUUAUAAGUAAUACUUUGAUUUCGUAUUUUUCUUCUUCUUCAUUUUGAUCAUUUUUUUUUAUGGUGGUUGAGAUUUGAACUCUGGACCUUGCAUAUUUUAUGCAUUAUCCAUACCAACUGAGUUACUUAUUUUGAUCAUUUUAAUUAUACAUAUUAAAGACUUAAACAUAUUUUUUCUUUUUCCUAAAAAAAAUAUAUAUUUUCCUUUAUCUUUUUACCAAAAACGUAUUUUGGUCCUUUGUUUUAUUUCUAACAUAUUUUUGAUUUAUCUAUCUUUCUAAAAAGAUUCACAUUUUCUUAAAAAAAAAAUAAAAUUCACGUGUUAGUCAUAAAUCAUAAGUUAACAAAAGUUUAAUACUACCUCCGUUUCUUUUUAAUUGUCACAUUUUGACGUUUUAUACAAACCAAGAUACUCCCUCCGUCCCUUAAUAAAUGACCUAGUUGACAAUAUGCAUUAUUGAGUUGAUAUACUUUGACCAUACUUUUCUACUAAUUCAGAAAGAUAAAUAAUAUCAUGUAAGAUGUUGUUGGAUUCGUCUUGAUGAGUAUUUUUAAAAUAUUAAAUUUUUAUAAUUUUUUUUAGUAGAGAAUUGAAGAUAUUAAAGAUAAAACAUAUGCAUUGGUAUGUGUGUCAGAGUCAACUAGGUCAUUUAUUUAGGGACGGAGGGAGUAAUCAAUAAAUGUUGCUACUUUUGAUACAAUAAUUUCUAUUUUUACUAUAAUAACCUUAUUUAUUUAAUGUCUCAUUACAUAUAUUUCUCUCUCCAUAAUAAUAAAUAAGGGUAAUAUUAGUAAAAUAACAUUUAAUGUUGCAUUGAACUACGUAAAGUGACACUUAAAUAGGAACAAAAAAAAUCUCGAAAAGUGACACUUAAAAAAGAACGGAGGGAGUACAUGACAAUUACCGUUUUAACACAAGCACAUGUGGCAUAGAAGAGGAAAAAACGACGUUUUUUAGGAAUAAUGAGAACGAAUUCUGAAAACGAAAAUAAGAACAUAAGUAUUCGAAGAAAAUUUUGUUGCGAUGCAUUUAAAGAAGAACGAUUUGUUGUGACGCCUUUAAAAAAGAUUAAAUUGUUACAACAUGUGUGACAAGCUAGAAACCAUGUGAGUUUAGUUUUUAACAUGUUUUUUGAUCUGGAGCGGCGGGGGGUUAUGUGGAGGUGGAGACGUAGGUUGUGGCAGUGGGAGGAGGAGUUGUUAGCGGAGUGUAGGGCUUUACUUCUUGAUGUUCUCUUGUUUCCGAAUGUUUCAGAUAUAUGAGUUUGGCUUCCUGCUCCGUCAGAUGGAUACACUGUUAGUGGUGCUUAUCAUGUGCUAACCUCUCAGGACCACUCUGGUGCGGCUACUGAUGCGGAGUUGGUGUGGCACAAACAGGUUCCCUUGAAGAUUUUAGUUUUUGCUUGGAGACUCCUCCAGGAUCGUUUACCGACAAAGACUAAUUUGAUUGCUCGACGGGUGUUAUCGAAUGACAUGUCCUUAUGUGUCGCUAGUUGCGGUCAUCCAGAAACGGCCCAAUAUCUUUUUUUGUUGUGUAACACUUUUGGUUCGCUUUGGCAUUUGGUGCGUGAUUGGAUUGGUUGCUCGGGGGUGGAUGCUGAUAAUAUAUCUGACCAUUUUCUUCAGUUUACUUAUUUGACAGGUGAUGCUAAGUCUAGAUGUUAUUUUAUGCAACUUAUUUGGCUUCUCUGUGUCUGGGUUGUGUGGAAUGAGCGAAAUAAUCGUCUGUUUAAUAAUGUAAUAACUCUCAUUCCCCGUUUGUUAGGCAAGGUCAAGAUGUUGUCCUUAGCUUGGUUGAAAGCUAAAAAAACUACUUUUGUGUUUGAUACUUAGCAGUGGUGGUCAUACCCUCUUGUGUGUUUGGGUAUAGGUUGAUGUAGCUCUGUUGUGUUGGUUGUUUUGUUGUAACUCUUGGUUCCUGUUUGUAGUCUCUAUGGCACACAUUGUGCUCUAGGAAUUGCAUUGUUAUAUAAUUUCAUUUUGGCUUUUAAAAAAAAAUAAAAAAUAAGAACAAACUUGAUUUUUCUUAAAAAGAUAAAAAAAAAACAUGUUAAAAAUAAGAUAAAAAACCAAAACAUUUUUUUUUGGGUAGUCGGAUUCGAAUCCCAGACCUUGUAUAUAUUAUGCAUUGUCAAUACGAAUUGAGCUGAGAUCACAAUGCAGUUUUGGUAAAAGAUAAAGUACCAAAAGUAUAUUUAAUGCUUUAAUUCUUAAAUUUGUUUGUGUCGUUUUGAUCAUUUUUGAAUUUCAAACUUAAGAUUUUUAAGUGUUUUCUUUGGCUUUUGCACUUGAGUUUAUCAAAUACUAUCUGUUUUUUCAUUCUCUUUAAGGAGUCAAACAGUUAAUAAAAAAAUAUGAUCACAUGAUAAACAUUAGAUAGACUCGGAUGAAUUGUCUAUCAUGUGUAACUUAAAAUACCAGAAUGAAAUAAAAACAAAUUAAUGAAAAGACCAAAAUAAAGUCUAAAAAAAACUCAAAAAAGAACAAAAGUAUAAUUUAAAAAACAACCUAUAGACAUAGUUGAAAAGAAAUGGAAUUUAUCCUAAUAUAGUUAGUUGUGAUUUUGUGGGGAUACAAAGCAAAAAUUGCUUUUGCCAACUGUCUACUUAUGAAAAAGACACAAGUGAUGAUGAAAAUGAAAAAAUGGUAAAGAGAAGUAGUAACUAGUUUUGCAUUGCAGCACACAGCACACUAUACACUAUGGUCUAGCUAUGCUGCUUCUCUCUUUUAUUUUAUCUCAACUGAACCAACCAAGACAUUAAUUAAUUACCUUCAUUUAAUUUGAAAGCUAUCAAAAAGCAACCUCAAGUGUCAGUUUUGGCGUGCAUAUCUUAACAACGUGGUAUGUAUUGUUAACUGUGUGUGUCUUGUUUUGUGUUUGUGUCACAGUGCAUACCAUCCCAGAAAUUCAAUGUUGUGGUACAUACUUUCUCAUCUAAAAUUAAAGACACUAAUGUAUUAGGAAAGUGUAUCAUAGCAAGCAACAACAUCAAAAAAGUGGUAAUGUUGAAUGUUACAAGCAUUAUAAAACAUCAUUUCUUAACUAUUUUGUUUUUUUGUGUAUGGAAUAUUUUUGCUGUUUUCUCUUCACCCUUCUUCUGGUUUACCUGAAAGCUUAAAACUUUAUUACACUGUCAUAGCAACCACUGUUCAGCAUUUCUAGUACACUCCAUGUUUGUGUAAGAUCUUUACUUUCUUAAUGGUUGAGCUGUUAAUGUGUUUUUUAUUUUUAUUUUUAUUUUUAUUUUUUUUAUGUGUUUUCCUCUUAGUAAUGGUAUUUUCACCUCUAAAUUUGAAAAGGGUAUGUGUCUUUUGAUGGGUUUUGUAUUUUUUUAGGUUUUUUUAAACAAUGACUCAAAUGGGUUAUGCGUGCAGUUUUUUAUAUUGUGAUGAGUUGGGAAAAAAAAAUUGAGUCUUGGGUGUUGUUGGUGUUUACACGGAGAGUGAUUUUUGGGUGGUUGUUAUUUUGAUUUGGUUAGUGGAUCUAAAGCAUAUUUUUCUACAUGUGUGGUUGAGAUUUUAACACCACAUAGUAUAAAGUUAUGAUCUUGCCUAACAUUAUUUUACUAGAUUUUUGUUUGUUACAUUCUGGUGGAUUCUUCAGAUUUUCAGUUUGAAAUUUGUUUUUAUAUUGCAACUUGUUGAUGUAUGAUUGUUCAUUAAUUAACAUAUUCGUGAUCUUGUUCAUUUAUUCCAUACUUGGCAAAAGAUUCUUGUUGUCUACAGUUUUGGUGGUUUUUUCAACUGAUACCAAGAUGCUGUUUUCAGUUGCAGGUUUUCAAACUUCAACGGUAAAGAAAAUAAAUGAAAAAAAGAAAAUAUUUAGAGAUAUACUAUAUAAAUAUAGAUAGAUAGGUAUACACAUGUUGGAUUUGGAACUUGAAGCUUUUAAAAGUGUUGGUGGUAUGGUAUGAAUCUUAAAAAAGAAAAACAAAGAAACAGUGUAAUCAGAUAGUGAAGGAUAAAGAAAUAAAGAAAAGUGAGGUGGAGUCAGAUUUGUGUCUCUGGUUUUAGAAUUGUUUAGUGUUACUACUCUGUUGGCUAUGUUCCCUGAGCUGACUCGGUGCGCCCGGACUCCGUGGCCUUUGCUGCCGACCAAGGAAACAAUCUCUUGUUAGAGUCUCUUACCAUUUAAGAGAACCUUUGCUUAAAAAAUUGGGAUAAUCCCAAUCUAGACCACUUAUCUUUCUCUAUCUUUUAUAUUAACCUUCUGCCUUGUUUGCUGUCAAGAUUCCGUUAUACUUUUCAGUAUUUAACCUUGUUGC